CCGUACACAAAAGCGCAUGUGUUGUGAGCUCGAUGAGUAGGGCGGGACACGUGGUAUCCUGUCUGAAUAUGGGGGGACCAUCCUCCAAGGCUAAAUACUCCUGACUGACCGAUAGUGAACCAGUACCGUGAGGGAAAGGCGAAAAGAACCCCGGCGAGGGGAGUGAAAAAGAACCUGAAACCGUGUACGUACAAGCAGUGGGAGCACAGGUUUACCUGUGUGACUGCGUACCUUUUGUAUAAUGGGUCAGCGACUUAUAUUCUGUAGCAAGGUUAACCGAAUAGGGGAGCCGGAGGGAAACCGAGUCUUAAUUGGGCGUUAAGUUGCAGGGUAUAGACCCGAAACCCGGUGAUCUAGCCAUGGGCAGGUUGAAGGUUGGGUAACACUAACUGGAGGACCGAACCGACUAAUGUUGAAAAAUUAGCGGAUGACCUGUGGCUGGGGGUGAAAGGCCAAUCAAACCGGGAGAUAGCUGGUUCUCCCCGAAAGCUAUUUAGGUAGCGCCUCGUGAAUUCAUCUCCGGGGGUAGAGCACUGUUUCGGCUAGGGGGCCAUCCCGGCUUACCAACCCGAUGCAAACUGCGAAUACCGGAGAAUGUUAUCACGGGAGACACACGGCGGGUGCUAACGUCCGUCGUGAAGAGGGAAACAACCCAGACCGCCAGCUAAGGUCCCAAAGUCAUGGUUAAGUGGGAAACGAUGUGGGAAGGCCCAGACAGCCAGGAUGUUGGCUUAGAAGCAGCCAUCAUUUAAAGAAAGCGUAAUAGCUCACUGGUCGAGUCGGCCUGCGCGGAAGAUGUAACGGGGCUAAACCAUGCACCGAAGCUGCGGCAGCGACGCUUAUGCGUUGUUGGGUAGGGGAGCGUUCUGUAAGCCUGUGAAGGUGUGUCGUGAGGCAUGCUGGAGGUAUCAGAAGUGCGAAUGCUGACAUAAGUAACGAUAAAGCGGGUGAAAAGCCCGCUCGCCGGAAGACCAAGGGUUCCUGUCCAACGUUAAUCGGGGCAGGGUGAGUCGACCCCUAAGGCGAGGCCGAAAGGCGUAGUCGAUGGGAAACGGGUUAAUAUUCCCGUACUUGGUGUUACUGCGAAGGGGGGACGGAGAAGGCUAUGUUGGCCGGGCGACGGUUGUCCCGGUUUAAGCGUGUAGGUGUGUGUUCCAGGUAAAUCCGGUUCACUUUAACACUGAGGCGUGAUGACGAGGCACUACGGUGCUGAAGCAACAAAUGCCCUGCUUCCAGGAAAAGCCUCUAAGCAUCAGGUAACAUCAAAUCGUACCCCAAACCGACACAGGUGGUCAGGUAGAGAAUACCAAGGCGCUUGAGAGAACUCGGGUGAAGGAACUAGGCAAAAUGGUGCCGUAACUUCGGGAGAAGGCACGCUGACACGUAGGUGAAGUGAUUUACUCAUGGAGCUGAAGUCAGUCGAAGAUACCAGCUGGCUGCAACUGUUUAUUAAAAACACAGCACUGUGCAAACACGAAAGUGGACGUAUACGGUGUGACGCCUGCCCGGUGCCGGAAGGUUAAUUGAUGGGGUCAGCGCAAGCGAAGCUCCUGAUCGAAGCCCCGGUAAACGGCGGCCGUAACUAUAACGGUCCUAAGGUAGCGAAAUUCCUUGUCGGGUAAGUUCCGACCUGCACGAAUGGCGUAAUGAUGGCCAGGCUGUCUCCACCCGAGACUCAGUGAAAUUGAACUCGCUGUGAAGAUGCAGUGUACCCGCGGCAAGACGGAAAGACCCCGUGAACCUUUACUAUAGCUUGACACUGAACAUUGAGCCUUGAUGUGUAG
rnacentral:rRNA from 1 species